GAUGAACGCUGGCGGAAUGCUUAACACAUGCAAGUCGACCUGAACUUCUGUUUGGGUGGCGGACGCGUGAGUAACGCGUAAAUAACUUGCCUCACAGAUAGGGACAACAUUUGGAAACGAAUGCUAAGACCUGAUAUUAUGAUUAUAGUGCAUCGUCUAAUUAUGAAAGCUAUAUGCGGUGUGAGAGAGCGUUGCGUACCAAUAUCUAGUUGGAGCGGUAACGGCGCACCAAGGCGAGUAAGGGUAGCCGACCUGAGAGGGUGGUCGGCCACAAGGGGACUGAGACACCGCCGUUACUACUUCGGGAGAGAGGAGUGGAGAAUAUUGGACAAUGGACCAAGAGUCUGAUCCAGCAAUGCUGUGUGCAAGAUGAAGUUUUUCGGAAUGUAAAGUGCUUUCAGUUAGGAAGAAAAAAAUGCCGGUACCAACAGAAGAAGUCAGGGCAAAAUCCUU
rnacentral:rRNA from 1 species